rnacentral:rRNA from 1 species
UACGAAGGGGGCUAGCGUUGUUCGGAUUUACUGGGCGUAAAGCGCACGUAGGCGGAUCGUUAAGUCGGGGGUGAAAUCCUGGAGCUCAACUCCAGAACUGCCUUCGAUACUGGCGAUCUUGAGUCCGGAAGAGGUGAGUGGAACUCCUAGUGUAGAGGUGGAAUUCGUAGAUAUUAGGAAGAACACCAGUGGCGAAGGCGGCUCACUGGUCCGGUACUGACGCUGAGGCGCGACAGCGUGGGGAGCAAACAGG